CAGACACAUUACUGGGAGUAUUAUUGCUGUGGAGCUCUGUUAUACACUCAGACACAUUACUGGGAGUAUUAUUGCUGUGGGGCUCUGUUAUACACUCAGACACAUUACUGGGAGUAUUAUUACUGUGGAGCUCUGUUAUACACUCAGACACAUUACUGGGAGUAUUAUUGCUGUGGAGCUCUGUUAUACACUCAGACACAUUACUGGGAGUAUUAUUGCUGUGGAGCUCUGUUAUACACUCAGACACAUUACUGGGAGUAUUAUUGCUGUGGAGCUCUGUUAUACACUCAGACACAUUACUGGGAGUAUUAUUGCUGUGGGGCUCUGUUAUACACUCAGACACAUUACUGGGAGUAUUAUUGCUGUGGAGCUCUGUUACACACUCAGAC